CACUAAUACGACCCUAUGCGGUGGAUCACUUGACUCGCGAGUCGAUGAAGAGCGCAGCAAGCUGCGUGAAUUAAUGUGAUUUGCAGGACACAUUGAUCAUCGAUAUCUUGAACGCAUAUUGCGGUUAUGGAUCACUUCCAUGACCACGCCUGUCUGAGGGUCGGUAUU
rnacentral:rRNA from 1 species